CGUGACAACAGCUUGAUUACUUUUGAAUCACAUGUGCUUCUUUUCUCAAACUUCUUUCCAGCGCUUUAACGAGUGACUGUGUUUUUAAGUCUUCUAUAAAAUGGAGAGAAACGAAAUUAAAGUAAUCAAGAUCAAAAUUAAAAUUAUUAUCAAAAUAAAAAUAACAAGUAAGGAAACGGAAAGGAUAGAUAAGACGCGGAGGAAGUGUUACAUGCCGAAGAAUACUGCUGGACUAAUGGGCUAUGGCCGGGGACGGCGAAGCACGGACUUCCAUGGCUCCAGUGACCGGCGACCUGAGAGGGGCCAGGGGCAGCCUCAGCAAUCCGCCAGGAGUAAUAGAUUAAUAAUGGGCUACGGCCGGGGACGGCUUAUUAAUAGAGAUGUCGUUUAAGUGUUGGUAGGUAAAUUAGAUAAGCUAAGGUAGGUAAGUUAGAUAAGCUAAGGUAGGUAAGUUAGAUAAGCUAAGGUAGGUAAGUUAGAUAAGUUGACUCUCCCUGCCAGCCCCUGGAGGAUGGGCUCCCCCUUUGAGUCUGGUCCCUCCCAAGGUUUCUUCCUAAUAGGGAGUUUUUCCUUGCCACUGUCGCCUAUGUAUGGCUUACUCACUGGGGGCUUUGGGUGGGGAUGCUGUAAAGCUCUUUGAGACGGUGUAAUGUGAUAUUGUGCUAUACAAAAGUAAAUUUGUUUGUAGAUAUGCUAGGAUAAGAUAUGCUAGGAUAUGAGCUUUACAAUAAAACAUAUAUACAAUA